rnacentral:tRNA from 1 species
GCCGACGUAGCUCAGUCCGGCAGAGCAAUCGCCUUGUAAGCGAAAGGUCGCGGGUUCGAUUCCCGCCGUCGGCU